GACGUAGGGCGCGAGCGUUGUCCGGAUUUAUUGGGCGUAAAGAGCUCGUAGGCGGCUCAUCGCGUCAACCGUGAAAACCAGCAGCUCAACUGUUGGCUUGCGGUUGAUACGGGUGGGCUGGAGUUCGGUAGGGGAGACUGGAAUUCCAGGUGUAGCGGUGAAAUGCGUAGAUAUCUGGAGGAAUACCGGUGGCGAAGGCGGCAUCCUGGACCGGCAUUGACGCUGAGGAGCGAAAGCCAGGGGAGCAAACGGGG
rnacentral:rRNA from 1 species